AGAAUUUUGUUGUAUAAUUUCGUUUAGAAGUUUUGCCUCAUCAAAUUUGACAUGUGAAUGUGAACGCUCUUAGAUAUGCAUAAAUUCACGCCUGUCUCUUAUCGCACAGCUUCUGCCUUUCACCAAAAAAAAAAAGUCGUAUUAAAAUGCAUAAAUUAUUUUUAUAGAAAAAUUCGUAAAAGCAAGUCAAAAGUAUCUGCAUAAUUUUUGCAUGCAAAACCAGACAAAACAAAUCCAAUCAAAGGAAGAAGAGAAAAAUAUAACAACAAUAACUAAAAUAGAAAAGCCAAAAGUGGGAGACAACACAACGAAGUUUGGGAGUAAGGAAAGGACGCCAACUAAUUCAAUUAACACAAUAAAAACGCCACACAAAAGCCAAACGGAGCAGCAGCCGCAUCAUCAGCAGCAGCAGCAGCAGGAGAGCCUUUGAUUGCCAAGUUGACUUCAGCAGCAGCAGCAGGAACUGAGCGAAGCUAAGGCAAACUGAGACUGUCCUUUGUUAAGGUGCGCAGCUAAAGGCAAAGACCGGGUCCUUGCCCUCUCACUCACUUGCUUUCUGUCUUUCUCUUCUUUUCUUUGUGUGUGUGUGUGUGGCGCCAGCUUGAAAGAAGCAGCAAAGCGAAACAAAGCAUAGGGCCAGGCCCCAAAAAGGAAUCUAAUGUAGACCAAGCUUCAACUUUUAGCUUUAGCUGCACUCCAAAUCCCCUUCACUCGCACUUCUUUAUGGCACUGGCACUGACACUGGACGACUACUCGGCAAAUUUGUACACAGCACACGCGUCGCAGAGCGCGUGAAGCUAUUCGCAUGCUCCAACACAUGUGGGCAGCAAAGGCAGCAGGCAGCUUUGGCAGCAGUCAGCUCACAAUGCCAGGAAACUCUGGCAGCCGACAGGACGAAGAGAAGGAUGACGCUCAAGGCUCAAGUGCACUAAAUGCAAGCGGCAACAUCCGUUUCAUAAACGUAAAACCGGCAACUACACUUGCAGAAAUUUAUGGCAACACUAAACUAGAGUUGCAAAAUGUUA